AGAAGGGGCACCCUUGCACAUUCAUGUGCAUGAGCAGAGGAUGGGGGAGCCUGUCUGCACAAUGCUCUGAAGCGGACUAGUUCCUGCUGGGUUAAUUUUCAUAUCUCAAGUAACUUUUUCUCUUUUUCAUUCACCCUUUAUUUUUGAUCAAUGAAUUAUACAGGCCUAUUUCAGGUAAAAGUUAUUAAUAAGCCACACAGUUUAAAUCAAGUAUGGGGAAGGAGAAGAAUUUGUGAAGCUCAGUAUAUAAGUCCCUGAGGCACUUGGAGACCUGAUAGCUUAUGCAGUAUUAGAAGCAAGUUAUGAGGGAACUAUAAAGUGGGUUAUUUAACACCCCUGCCAUCCAUGAUGGGUGAACUUGUUUGGUUUUCUGUUCAACAAUGUAUGUGUGGGUGUGCGUGCAUGCGUGUGUAAAUGAGUUAGGUAAACGCCUAUUUAGGAAAAAUAAGCUAGCUCUCUACUUAACACUAAAAACAAAGACAAAUUCCAAGCAAGAUCACAUUGUGAACAUUUUUUUUUCUCUCUUUCUCCGUUUUUCUUUUCUUGUCUUGUCUUUCCGAGACAGGGUCUCUCUGUUCGCCCUGGCUGCCCUGGAUCUCAGCCUCUAGAUCCUCCUGCCUCUGCCUCCCAAGUGCUGGAAUUAAACCAUCACUGCCUAGCAACCACCACUCUCAUAAAGGAAAGCAUUUAAUUUGGGGCUGGCUUACAGUUCAGAGGUUUAGUCCUUUAUUGUCCUGGUAGGAAACACGGUGCUAGAAAGGUAGCUGAGAGUUCUGCAUCUGGAUCAGCAGGUAGC
rnacentral:lncRNA from 1 species